rnacentral:piRNA from 1 species
UGCACAGAACUAUCAAAAGCUUCUGCAUG